AGAAAGAGUGCUUUCGCCGUGGGUGCAGAGGGUGGGCCCGCCGGGUUGGGUGGGGGGCGUGUGAUGACGGUAAUGGCGACGAGAUGCUCAACUCACGCGGCCUCUUUUAAUCCUCACAGCAGCUCUGCGUGGAGAAACUACAGUAACGUGUUACCACGUUAAGGCGGGAAGCUGAGGCAUGGGAGUAUUUAGUAACGUUCCCGGGCCGUAGAGCUGCGGUGUGCGGCCGCCUGAUCCACCUGAUCUGUAUGACUCCCGUACUCAACCAGCCUAUGUUUCCUACCAGCGAAUUUUUUUUUUUUUUUUUUUUUUUUUCUUUUUUUGAGACAAUCUGGCUCUGUGGCUCAGGCUGGAAUGCAGUGGUGCGAUCUCGGCUCACUGCAGCCUCGACCUCCCAGGCUCGGGUGAUCCUCACUUCUCAGCCUCCCGAGCAGCUGGAACCACAGUCGCCUGCCACCACCAGGCUCGGCUAAUUUUUGUAUUUUUUGUAGAGACGGGGUCUCGCCAUGUUGCCCAGGCUGGUCUGGAACUCCUGGACUCAGGCGAUCCUCCUGCCUCGGCCUGCCAAAGUGCUGGGAUUACAGGCGUGAGCCACCACGCCGGGCCUUUCCCCGGGAAUGCUGUGGUAGAGGGACCCGCAGAGGCCCCGAGGCUGCCUGCAUGUGUGUGUUGGGAGGAUCUGCGCUGAGGGUGAUUCCUGCGUGGAUGCCUGCGGGGAUUCCUGCGUGGAUUGGGGAAGUCCUGCAGCAUUACAGAAUUGUUACCCAACGCCAGGGCCUUGGUCCAGAGUCCUGUUGCUAGAUGCACAGAAAGCAAAUCACUGAGAUGAAGCGGCCCAGGCCUUGGAGCUGCGCAGCCCGGAACUCAGCUGGCCGCGUGCGCCCCGCGUGGAAGGCCUCCCGCAGUCGCCGCAGCGUGUCCCCAAGGGGGUCCAUCCUGCCAGAUGGGGUGGCAUGAACUGGGUGGCCAGGGCUGCCCCUCCUUCAUGGGCACCACCCAGCCGCCCCAGGGUCUGGGCACCCCUGACCUGCCUGCACCCACAGGGGCUUGCAGACACCUCUACCUUAUACACACACAGGGACCCACUCAGAUGACCCCACAGGGACUGAGGCUGCCUGCAACCCCUUUCACCCAACAGUGAGCACUCCCAGACACACAUGAAGACCCUCGCACCACUCCCCUCUGCCAUGGACCUGGAGGCGGCUGCAGGACUGGGUGUGGGCUUGGGGACAGCUGCUCCACCACAGCCCCCGAGGGUGAGCAGGCAGGCAGAGCGCCAUGCUUCUUCCUGCCGCACAGAAAUUAACCCCAAGCCAUGGCCUCUGCCCUGCCCUGAUGCCCCUCCUGGAGGCGGGGCAGCCUCACCCCUGCCAGUCUGAAUGGUGUAAGCAGGAGCUUGAUGAGUAGAGGGGGUGACUCACUGCCACCAUGGCCACCACCUUGGAGCACUCCAGACACAGAAUUCUCCGUCUUCCUCUGUCCCCAGCCUGGGGGCACUGCCCAGGGAGGCCAGGCCAGUGGGCAAUAGCCUCUUCUCCCUGUGCCUCAGCUUCCUCAGGAAGAGGGGGAGAACACCUCGGGCCUCCUGGAGGCCCUGCUGCCCACCCUGCCGGGGCUGUGGUGCUGGGAGGCAGAAACAGCUGUGGGGGAGAGGAUCAGGGCGGGGGAGAGGGCGUUCCUGCCUCCGUGCUGGUGCCAGCCAGAGCUGGCAGGCAGGGUAGGGGCCUAGACAUUCCCCCGAGCCCUGCCUGUUUACUUGAAGUUCAUCGGAGGAGCACUCUGACGCACUCGUUCCUCGGCCUGGUGCCAAGGACCCGUGGUGACCCUUUCCUCCUUCCCUCUCCGAGUCCCUUUCCUCCAGAUCUCAGCUUGGCUGAUGCUUCCUCCAGGCAGCCCACCCAGAUUAUGCCCUCAUCCACUGUCACAGUGGCCCCUUGACUCUGCUCCCCAGCGUUCUGAGUUGUGCCAUGUGAUAAAUGUCUGGUUACACUCUACCCACCUCCCAACCCUGUCCACAUCUCCCUUAUUUCCCCCUCAUUAGACUGGGAGGCAGGCCCCUCUGUGCCUACUUAUUUGAGACCUAGUGCUUGAAGCCUCUCAUGUUACCGGUGUAAUGAUGGCACCUGCCAGCUAAUGAUGAGACCACACAGUCGGUUCUGAGCCCAGGGCCCAGCAUCGGUGAGCGCAAGGCUGUGGGUGAUUGUUAAGUGGCCACCUUGAGGGCGGGACCUGCUCCGGUCUGCAGGAUGGCCCUGCUGGACCAGUGUGCUACUGAGAGCCUGGUCAGGAGCCCCAGGCCAGCCCUCAGCUGGAGUGAUUGUGGGGCCAGGCUGAACCCACCAUCUUCCUGCUCUGAUUGGGAGAAGCUGGGCAGUGGCCCGCACACAGGACAGGCACCAUGGUCCCCAUAGGGGAUGGCUCGUCACGGGAGCAGGACUGAGACCCAGGAGCCAAGAACGAGCCUCUCGAGCCACCAUCAGGCCUGUCUCCGGGCUCUGCCUCUUACUGGUUGUGGGACCUUGGGCAAAUCACUCACCUUCUCUGCCUCGGUUUCCUCAUCUGUGAAAUGGGGAUGCUAAUGGCACCUGGUGUCAUUGUGAGGAUUAAAUGACAUCACGCUGCAUAAAACAUUUGCUGUUGUGCCCACAGAAAGUACUCGACAAAGGUCAGCUCUGGGUGUUUUGCUAAGUAGCCUGCAAAUAUUUAUCUCCCUCAACUCCGCACUCUCCUGGGUCCUUCUCCAUUCUACUCUCACCUUCAGACUUCUGCCAGUGGUCAAAGGCAAACCACGCCUGUGCCUCUCUCACCCUUUGUAAGAAUCUCUGCAGAAACCACAAAAAUGCAAGGCACGUAACGUGAAUGGUGGACUGUGGGCCGGGAGCUCUGUGGGGGAUGGAGUUCUGCAGGGAACAUUCCAGCAACCCUCCUAGCAACGCUGAAACCAACUCACCAGGGCCACAGGACACAUCUCUCCCACAGGGCAACCAGCCCUGGCAUUGCCCCUACGGGUCACUCACUCUGGACUGAGGCCCCCAGGGAGUGCCCAGGGCAGGACCCUGGCAAGCGGAGAAGCCAAGGCCGCCUUCUGCCUGAGAUUGGGGGGAUCCUGGGCCUGUUAUCUCCCGAGGGUGCUGGGCAGCCAUUGUGGACACACAGAAUAGGGAACUCCUGAAUCAGGCACUGGGCUGGGGUCCCCCAAGCCCACCCCCGCGGCACUCAUCCCACAGUGUGAGGUUGUAAGGAGUGUGAUCCCCAUGCCUGCCCUCGCUCAUUUCACCACCACGGCCGCCCACUGAGGGACCACUAUUCACCCCACUGAAGGAGAUGGAGGCUGAGGCUCAGAGAGGGCCAGAGCUUGCCUGAUACCACCCAGCUCCUCACAUUGGAAAACCCAAAUCCAGAAGAGCAGAAGGCUAUCCACCUCAGCUCCCACCUCCCUCACAGUCCCCUGGGGAUGGGCAGCCAAGUCCUUGGGGGAAGGGACACUGGGCUGGGGCCUGGACGGCAGACCCAAGGCUGGGUGGACUCCGGUAGGCCAGCUGUGGGAGGGGUGACCGGUGAGGGGAGGUCUCUUGCUGUUUGGAUUCCAUUUCCUCGGCCUCCCUCCUCACUAUUGCUGCCACUCCCCACACUGCUUAGGUUGUGGGGUCUGAGACUGCCUCUUGCCUCCUGCGGCUGAGCCACUGAGGUCCAGGGGCUGAUGGGCCCAAGGGUCUCUGGGGCGUGGCCCCCCAUCACAGGUUGAGGUGCAUUUGGCCCAGACCUGCAGCUUCUGGGGUGGGGGGGAGUUGCCACAUCAUUUGGUGAUGAAGAUAGCGGCUGUUUCCUCUGGCCUGGGGGCCAGGGCAGGACCAGCCACUUCCUCUCAAGGCCACGGGCCUCUAAAAACAAUACUCAGGUGCCCAUGUGCUGGGCACUAUGCCAGCCUGGGUGCUCGCUGUGGGUGCCCACAGGCUCCGGGAACAGAGUGGGGAGGAACGGGGCUGACAUAUCACAGGGAGUGAAUGGCUGGCCGAGCCGCUGCCCCCAACCUCACAGCAGGGACCGUCCCUGGGCAGGGACUCCCUGCUCGUUCACACCCUGGCCUAUCAAGUGGGUUGGAUUCCAGGGAAACGGAGGCUCUGCCCGUUCUCUCAUUCUUCCUGCCUCAGUUUCCUCAUCUACACCAUGGGCCUUCUAAGAGCAUCCUCCCAGCAUGGCAUGGUCUGGGGGCCCAAUGACCUGGGUUUAAACUGCAGCAACCACAUGUGUGAGUGGGGAGACCUUGGGCAGGUUGCUUGACCUCUUUGUAUUCACGUUUCCCAUCUGUAAAAUUGGGCACUGCCUGUGGCACCCAUACCACUGUCGGGAGAAUUCAAGCACUGGGACCCCGGGAAGUGCUCAGUAUCCAUGGAGGACGGAUGUACCAGAGGAGGGCUCAGGGAGGAGACCCCUGGGGCAGGGGCCUGAAGGGGCCUUGAUCCAAGGUGGGUGUUGGGGAGACAAGGACAUCACCCUGAGACCCAACUGAGGACAGGGAUGUGGUGACAGAGGGACUGAACAUGGUGGGUAGAGGGCCUGGGGGACCCCCAUCAGGGCAGCCAGAAGGCGGGGAUCACUAGGCCAACUUCAGGGGACCCACAGGCCCAAUACCGCAGGGUCUCCGAUUCUGAUCUCCUGCAGUGUAGCUUCAUUAAACAAACAUGAUGAGAGGCUGUGAUUUUGAACUGAGCUCCUGUACUAGGCCCCAACAGACCAGACCAAACCAAAAUGGAGGCACUCAUGCCAAAUGCCACAUCAUCAAACCGAAGCUUUAAGGAAGCAGACAGAGCCCAAAACCACAGACCAGUUUCUCCGGGAAGCAGGAGAUUCCAGUCCACCUGAGCCGGCAUCAUCAGGUCCCCUCUGCCUUACCCCUUAGAAAAAAGCAGUCCGCUUAGAAAAAAGCAGUCUGCAGCGAUCCGGUAUUAGGCGGUUUGGUGUUUCCUAUUUUUCUGUUUCCUCCUUUCUGCCUUAUGAACCCCCUGCUCUGCCACUGCCUGGUGGGAGCUCUCACUCCAUUUUGUAGAAUGGAGGCUGUCCGGAUUCACGAAUCAUGAAUAGAAGCCAAUUUGAUCUAUAACUAAAUGUGUUGUCAUUUUGUCUUUUGAUGGCCUUAAGCUGGAUUUUCAUGAGGCCUCCCAAAGCUCAGCAGCCCCUCCCUUGGGGAGCCAGGGACCAGCGUAUCCCCUCAUUGGUGGCUCGGGCCAACCCAGCCCCGGGUCACAAAGAGGCUGAACAGCCUCGGCUCCCUGAUGGGGCACAGUUCCCGGGAUGAGAAGUGCCUCCUGCAGGCGGGGCGGGGCUGGCUGGCCACUCCUUUCUUGGACCCUGACAAAGUCCAUUGCUAAGAAUGAUUCUUUCCCAGAGUCAUUCAUGGCCACAUCCCUGCAUCAGCACUGGGCAUGCAGGCUGGUGCCCAGGAAACGGCUGUUGCUGGAAGGGAUACUUGACCCCUGUGGGGAAGGGGCGCACAGUCCUUCCUGGGGCAGCUGGACCCAGAGCUGUUCCCUUGGUUCCCUUGGAGGGUGUCCGGGAAUCCCAGGAAAAGGAGGCGGUGGCAACCCAGCUCGGACAACGGAAGGGUGCCUGCUGGCCAGGGGGGUGCCCGGGACCUCGCUGCCACUCCCCAGAUCUGCCUCUCCUCCUUCCGCUUUCUCCCCCAGCAGGCAGGCAGAUGAGCUCAGCCAGGACACAGUGGCCUCUGAGUGCAGCUGCCGGUGGCUAGGCCCGCCUGGGCUGCCUGUAACCCGGAGUUGCUGAGCUGGACUCUGGCCCGACUGCUGGCCCACUACAGCCCCAGCCUCCCCGGGAUACUCUACCUGAGGCUCUGCCAAGCUGCCCUUCCUCCUGGCUGUCCCGCUCUGCCUGGUGGCCCUGCUGUUAAGAAAUGUCCAACGCAGGGCCAGUCCCCGGGGGAGGGGUGGGGCGGAGUUGCCCUAGCCUCGUGCCUGACUCUGGCUCUGGGCGGGCUGGAGGCUGCAAGCCAAGAUUUCACCACCGCCUCCCUCGGGGGCCUCGACAUCUCCUCCCAGACCACAGAGAAGAAGUCAACGCCCAGAGGGCGCCAGGCUAGAGCCACACAGCAGGGCUGAGCUCCGAGCUGAGGGGCAGCCUGAGGAGGAGGAGGAGAGGCUGUGCAGCAGGGCUGAGCACUGAGCUGAGGGC
rnacentral:lncRNA from 1 species